rnacentral:sRNA from 1 species
AUGCGCGGGACCCAUGGUUCAGCUUCCACGUGAGCGUGUGGGUUUGCCCUUCACUUGCGACGGAUAAAUGGGUCCCGCGAACACGUCGCGGGAUGACGGUUGU